CGAGCCAGACGUUGAUGGCAUUCUAUUACCGAACUCGUCGUGCUCUUCCAAUUUUCCGGUGGCGGCGUCACCUUUCUUCGUCUUCUUCUUCCAAAGUUGCUCUUCUUUGGGAAUCUAAGUCCACCGACUCACAAAAAGCAGUCACUGUCCAACUGUAUUCCUGGGGACGUGGUGCUUCCGGUCAAUUGGGUGGCGGUAUUGAAGAAAUUAGAAUAUACCCAUCUCCUGUUGCUUCAUUUUCUUUGUCUCCCACUUUCCGGUUAUCCUCCCCCAUUCCUGGUCGUCUUCCUUCUGCUCCUGUGCUGCUGUCGUCUUCAUUCAAUGAGGGGAAGGUGGACGUUGAAAUAGGAAUUUCUUGUGGGCUUUUCCAUUCAGCUUUAUUGGUUGAUGGGAAUCUGUGGAUUUGGGGAAAAGGUGAUGGG
rnacentral:misc_RNA from 1 species